rnacentral:rRNA from 1 species
AUUGAACGCUGGCGGCAGGCCUAACACAUGCAAGUCGAGCGGAUGAAGGGAGCUUGCUCCUGGAUUCAGCGGCGGACGGGUGAGUAAUGCCUAGGAAUCUGCCUGGUAGUGGGGGAUAACGUCCGGAAACGGGCGCUAAUACCGCAUACGUCCUGAGGGAGAAAGUGGGGGAUCUUCGGACCUCACGCUAUCAGAUGAGCCUAGGUCGGAUUAGCUAGUUGGUGGGGUAAAGGCCUACCAAGGCGACGAUCCGUAACUGGUCUGAGAGGAUGAUCAGUCACACUGGAACUGAGACACGGUCCAGACUCCUACGGGAGGCAGCAGUGGGGAAUAUUGGACGAUGGGCGAAAGCCUGAUCCAGCCAUGCCGCGUGUGUGAAGAAGGUCUUCGGAUUGUAAAGCGCUUUAAGUUGGGAGGAAGGGCAGUAAGUUAAUACCUUGCUGUUUUGACGUUACCAACAGAAUAAGCACCGGCUAACUUCGUG